ACGAACGCUGGCGGCAGGCCUAACACAUGCAAGUCGAGCGAGACCUUCGGGUCUAGCGGCGGACGGGUGAGUAACGCGUGGGAACGUGCCCUUUGGUACGGAAUAGCCCCGGGAAACUGGGAGUAAUACCGUAUAAGCUCUUCGGAGGAAAGAUUUAUCGCCAAAGGAUCGGCCCGCGUUGGAUUAGGUAGUUGGUGGGGUAAUGGCCUACCAAGCCGACGAUCCAUAGCUGGUUUGAGAGGAUGAUCAGCCACACUGGGACUGAGACACGGCCCAGACUCCUACGGGAGGCAGCAGUGGGGAAUCUUAGACAAUGGGCGCAAGCCUGAUCUAGCCAUGCCGCGUGAGCGAUGAAGGCCUUAGGGUUGUAAAGCUCUUUCAGUGGGGAAGAUAAUGACUGUACCCACAGAAGAAGCCCCGGCUAACUCCGUG
rnacentral:rRNA from 1 species